rnacentral:rRNA from 1 species
UACGUAGGGUGCGAGCGUUGCCCGGAAUUACUGGGCGUAAAGAGCUCGUAGGUGGUUUGUCGCGUUGUUCGUGAAAACUCACAGCUUAACUGUGGGCGUGCGGGCGAUACGGGCAGACUGGAGUACUGCAGGGGAGACUGGAAUUCCUGGUGUAGCGGUGGAAUGCGCAGAUAUCAGGAGGAACACCGGUGGCGAAGGCGGGUCUCUGGGCAGUAACUGACGCUGAGGAGCGAAAGCGUGGGGAGCGAACAGG